AACGAACGCUGGCGGCAUGCCUAACACAUGCAAGUCGAACGAGACCUUCGGGUCUAGUGGCGCACGGGUGCGUAACGCGUGGGAACCUGCCCUUAGGUUCGGAAUAACUCCCCGAAAGGGGUGCUAAUACCGGAUAAUGUCUUCGGACCAAAGAUUUAUCGCCUUGGGAUGGGCCCGAGUUGGAUUAGCUAGUUGGUAGGGUAAAAGACUACCAAGGCGACGAUCCAUAGCUGGUCUGAGAGGAUGAUCAGCCACACUGGGACUGAGACACGGCCCAGACUCCUACGGGAGGCAGCAGUGGGGAAUAUUGGACAAUGGGCGAAAGCCUGAUCCAGCAAUGCCGCGUGAGUGAUGAAGGCCUUAGGGUUGUAAAGCUCUUUUACCCGGGGUGAUAAUGACAGUACCGGGAGAAUAAGCUCCGGCUAACUCCGUG
rnacentral:rRNA from 1 species